UACGUAGGGUGCGAGCGUUAAUCGGAAUUACUGGGCGUAAAGCGUGCGCAGGAGGCUUUGCAAGACAGAUGUGAAAUCCCCGGGCUCAACCUGGGAACUGCAUUUGUGACUGCAAGGCUAGAGUACGGCAGAGGGGGAUGGAAUUCCGCGUGUAGCAGUGAAAUGCGUAGAUAUGCGGAGGAACACCAAUGGCGAAGGCAAUCCCCUGGGCCUGUACUGACGCUCAUGCACGAAAGCGUGGGGAGCAAACAGG
rnacentral:rRNA from 1 species